UCCAACCUCCCACCCGUGUUUAUUUUACCUUGUUGCUUCGGCGGGCCCGCCUUAACUGGCCGCCGGGGGGCUUACGCCCCCGGGCCCGCGCCCGCCGAAGACACCCUCGAACUCUGUCUGAAGAUUGAAGUCUGAGUGAAAAUAUAAAUUAUUUAAAACUUUCAACAACGGAUCUCUUGGUUCCGGCAUCGAUGAAGAACGCAGCAAAAUGCGAUACGUAAUGUGAAUUGCAAAUUCAGUGAAUCAUCGAGUCUUUGAACGCACAUUGCGCCCCCUGGUAUUCCGGGGGGCAUGCCUGUCCGAGCGUCAUUGCUGCCCUCAAGCCCGGCUUGUGUGUUGGGCCCCGUCCCCCGAUCUCCGGGGGACGGGCCCGAAAGGCAGCGGCGGCACCGCGUCCGGUCCUCGAGCGUAUGGGGCUUUGUCACCCGCUCUGUAGGCCCGGCCGGCGCUUGCCGAUCAACCCAAAUUUUUAUCCAGGUUGACCUCGGAUCAGGUAGGGAUACCCGCUGAACUUAAGCAUAUCAAUAAGCGGAGGAA
rnacentral:rRNA from 1 species